GGUUGAUCCUGCCGGAAGUCAUAUGCUUGUUUUAGGGACUUAGCCAUGCAUCUAUAAGAAUCCUUAUAUUUACGUUUGGAAUCUGGGGACGGCUCAUUAAAUCAGUUUUAACCUAUUCGAUUGAACAAAGUUUAUACGGAUAACUGCGUCAAACCGGAGCUAAUACGUGACUUGAAUGGGUGGCCUUUUGGUAGCCCUGUAUUUAUGAGCUCUGAACUGACCCCAGCAAUGGGUUUGCGGUGAUUCAUCAUAACUUUUCGGACGCCGAUCCGUAAGCAAGGCGCGUUUCGUUCGGGUUCCUGCCUUAUCAGGUUGUUGGGAGUGUAUUGGACUCCCAAGCCGGUGACGGGUACGGGGAAUCAGGGUUCGAUUCCGGAGAAUGAGCCUGAGACACGGCUGAUACUUCUAAGGAAGGCAGCAGGCGCGCAAAUUGCCCAAUGUCAACUCGACGAGGCAGCGACAAAAAAUAGGAAAGGCGAUCAUGUUUAAUGAGCGCCUAUUCAAAUGAGGCAAAGAUUGUAUCUAUUGCCGAGGAACAAGUGGAGGGCAAGUCUGGUGCCAGCAGCCGCGGUAACUCCAGCUCCACGAGCGUAUACACACGUUGUUGUAGUUAAAAAGUUCGUAGUCGAAUCUCGAUUCAGAUGCCGUGUGCGGAGACUAGAUGUCACUGCCUCGACUCUUUAUCUAUCGCGCGGCGAUGCGGGUCGGCGAUUAAUUUCGUCGGGCUGCGCGUCGCGCCGGUUACCUUGAAGAAAUCAGCUCGUUCAAAGAAGGGCUAUCGCCCAUUGAAUGUUUCAGCAUGGUACGACGAAACACGUGUGCUUGUUUUUCGUCGGUUCAAUCAAGUGCAAAUGAUGAAUAGGAGCGGUUGGGGUCGUCUGUACUGUGUCGUCAGCGGUGAAAUGUGUGGACCGACGCAAGACAACCUACUGCGAAAGCAGUCGACAAGAACGCCUCCAUUGAUCAAGAACGAAAGUGCGGGUAUCGAAGAUGAUCAGAUACCGUCGUAGUCCGCACCCUAAACGAUGCUGUCCAGGGAUCACGAGAAGUUAUAUUUUUCGACUUUCGUGGGACCUUAGAGAAAUUAGAGAUUUUGGGUUCUAGGGGGAGUAUGGUCGCAAGGCUGAAACUUAAAGGAAUUGACGGAAGGGCACCACCAGGAGUGGAGCUUGCGGCUUAAUUUGAACAACACGGGAAAACUUACCAGGGCCGGACACGAGAAGGAUUGACAGGUUGAAGACCUUUCUUGAUUGCGUGAUUGGUGGUGCAUGGCCGUUCUUAGUUCGUGGAGUGAUUUGUCUGGUUAAUUCCGUUAACGAGCGAGACCGCAACCUAUUAGCUACGUGCGUUACGAGCCUGC
rnacentral:rRNA from 1 species